UCUCUCUCACCUCUGCAACUCCGGUUGCUUUCUCUUUCCGACCACCAAAAAGCUUAAAACCGGUGGCUACGGACUCGUCUCGACCUCCUCUUGGUGCCUGCGGUGAUGGCUCAUGGCGGCUUGGCCGGAAAAUGACGCAUCGAGCUGUGGAAGUUUCACUGUAGCAGAAGUGGUCAACGCCAGUUUCUCCCGAUUCCGGCCACCUCCGGCGACGAACCAUAAUCAUUUGGAAGCGCCUUGCGAUGUAGAUGAUGCUCCCCAAAUAUUUUGCAGCGAUUUGAAGCGUGGAGGAAGAAUUGAAGGACGUUGUUGCGAGCUAUGGCUAGAUGAAGGAACUCGUUUGUGUGGUCGCCAAUAGUACUUUUGCAGGCGCUAUUAGUUGAGGUCGGGCGUACAUGGUUCGAGGCAUAGUUGACGAAUAGCUUCCGCGCUUCUUUGUUUGGCUCUGAUCUAUUGUGGGUUACUAUUUUGGGUAGUCCUCUUUAGGGGUGACUCGACCAGUUCUCGGUAGAGUUAUCUCUAAGGUGGGCCCCGCAGGGCCACCUCGGAUUUCAGGGUGAAAUUCGGGGCGGGUCC